rnacentral:lncRNA from 1 species
GGAUAGAAAAGGGGGUGCAUAUCUUUACAACAAGAGACAUGGCUUUGAAUAGAAAAAUAUUUCCCUCACAUAUAAAUUGAGUUAUUAUCUUCCUGGAUUGCAUCACCGGUUUUUAAUUAUGUCUUGCUAGUUCUGUCACAUCGGAUAUGAUUCAUAUCCGGGAAGGACCUGUUGAAUCCUGGGGGAUUUGCGCUUAUGAGGCGAAUAAAUCCUUAAGGACAGUGCGAUCAGCACGCCUCAGGUAUUGUUCCAUGGUUC